rnacentral:rRNA from 1 species
GGCGUAGGGGGCUAGCGUUGCUCGGAAUCACUGGGCGUAAAGCGCACGUAGGCGGACUCUUAAGUCGGUGGUGAAAUCCUGGAGCUCAACUCCAGAACUGCCUUUGAUACUGAGGAUCUUGAGUUCGGGAGAGGUGAGUGGAACUGCGAGUGUAGAGGUGAAAUUCGUAGAUAUUCGCAAGAACACCAGUGGCGAAGGCGGCUCACUGGCCCGAUACUGACGCUGAGGCACGAAAGCGUGGGGAGCAAACAGG